rnacentral:rRNA from 1 species
AGAGUUUGAUCCUGGCUCAGGAUGAACGCUGGCGAGAUGCCUUACACAUGCAAGUCAUACGAGAAUUUUUAAUUCAAGUGGCGGACGGGUGAGUAACACGUAAGAAUUUGCCUUUAGGAGGGGGACAACAACUGGAAACGGUCGCUAAUACCCCAUGUGCUUUCGAGUGAAAUGGAUUUUUCCGCCUAAAGAGAAGCUUGCGGCUGAUUAGCUUGUUGGUGAGGUAAUGGCUUACCAAGGCGACGAUCAGUAUCUGGUUUCUGAGGAUGAUCAGACACACUGGAACUGAGACACGGUCCAGACUCCUACGGGAGGCAGCAGUGGGGAAUUUUCCGCCGUGGGCGAAAGCCUGACGGAGCAAUCUCGCGUGAGGGAAGCUACAGUAUGGGUUGUAAACCUCUUUUUCAGGGAGGAAUAAAUGACGUGUACC